CCUACGGGUGGCUGCAGUGAGGGAUAUUGGUCAAUGGACGAAAGUCUGAACCAGCGAAGUAGCGUGAAGGAUGACUGCCCUCUGGAUUGUAAGCUUCUUUUGUAGGGGAGUAAGACGUGACGCGUGUGCCUUUUUACAUCUCCUUUAUGAAUAAGGAUGGGCUAACUCCGUGCCAGCAGCCGCGGUAAUCCGGGGGAUCCGAGCGUUAUCCGGAUUUAUUGGGGUAAAGGGGUGCGUAGGCGGAAUAGCAAGUCAGCGGUAAAAAUUCGGGGCCAAACCCCGGCGUGCCGUUGAAACUGAUGUUCUUGAGUGGGCGAGAGGUAUGCGGAAUGCGUGGUGUAGCGGUGAAAUGCAUAGAUAUUACGCAGAACUCCGAUUGCGAAGGCAGCAUACCGGAGUCUAACUGACGCUGAAGCACGAAAGCGUGGGUAUCGAACAGGAUUAGAUACCCCUGUAGUC
rnacentral:rRNA from 1 species